AGAGUUUGAUUCUGGCUCAGGACGAACGCUGGCGGCGUGCUUAACACAUGCAAGUCGAACGGAAAGGCCCUUCGGGGUACUCGAGUGGCGAACGGGUGAGUAACACGUGGGUGAUCUGCCCUGCACUUUGGGAUAAGCCUGGGAAACUGGGUCUAAUACCGAAUAUGACCAUGCACUUCCUGGUGUGUGGUGGAAAGCUUUUGCGGUGUGGGAUGGGCCCGCGGCCUAUCAGCUUGUUGGUGGGGUAAUGGCCUACCAAGGCGACGACGGGUAGCCGGCCUGAGAGGGUGACCGGCCACACUGGGACUGAGAUACGGCCCAGACUCCUACGGGAGGCAGCAGUGGGGAAUAUUGCACAAUGGGCGCAAGCCUGAUGCAGCGACGCCGCGUGAGGGAUGACGGCCUUCGGGUUGUAAACCUCUUUCAGUAGGGACGAAGCGCAAGUGACGGUACCUGCAGAAGAAGCACCGGCCAACUACGUGCCAGCAGCCGCGGUAAUACGUAGGGUGCGAGCGUUGUCCGGAAUUACUGGGCGUAAAGAGCUCGUAGGUGGUUUGUCGCGUUGUUCGUGAAAACUCACAGCUUAACUGUGGGCGUGCGGGCGAUACGGGCAGACUUGAGUACUGCAGGGGAGACUGGAAUUCCUGGUGUAGCGGUGGAAUGCGCAGAUAUCAGGAGGAACACCGGUGGCGAAGGCGGGUCUCUGGGCAGUAACUGACGCUGAGGAGCGAAAGCGUGGGGAGCGAACAGGAUUAGAUACCCUGGUAGUCCACGCCGUAAACGGUGGGUACUAGGUGUGGGUUUCCUUCCUUGGGAUCCGUGCCGUAGCUAACGCAUUAAGUACCCCGCCUGGGGAGUACGGCCGCAAGGCUAAAACUCAAAGAAAUUGACGGGGGCCCG
rnacentral:rRNA from 1 species